ACCUGCGCCUGGAGGAGGAGAGCUGUGCGGACGCCCAGGACGGGGAGCUGGACGGGCUCUGGACGACCAUCUCCAUCUUCAUCACGCUCUUCCUGCUCAGCGUCUGCUACAGCGCCACCGUGACCCUCUUCAAGGUGAAGUGGAUCUUCUCAUCAGUGGUGGAGCUGAAGAGGACAAUUGUCCCUGACUACAGAAACAUGAUUGGACAGGGCGCCUAGAGCUCCUGUGAACAGAGACCAGGGCCGCCCCAGACCCGACUGGACAGCGUCCAUUAUUUCGAGCCUCAACCUGCACCAGACGUGCUCCUUCGCACUCUGACCCAGCGACCUCUGACCUCUUGGCCAGCCUCGCCGCAUCUCUACCUGCAGGCCUCACGGUCACCAAAACCUGCCCCCGCCCCUGAAGACCCAAAUGGAUAGCAGGCGAUGACCCUACCCCAGCUGAUGGAUGCUCAGGGCCUCUGGGAAGACUGCAAAACACCAAUGGGCUGCAAGUCCCCCACCAGGAACACACAGGUCGGAGUUCAGUUCUGCUUGGAGGAGCAGGAGGCUGGGUCCAGGGCUAUCUGCACAGGGCACCUCCUCCCAUGCAAUGUAUCUUGUCCAGGCCAGGAUCCAGACCACAGGGUCUCUGAAGAAGGAAGCUGGGAUCCCACACCGUAUGCACAGGGCCCAGUCCCUGCAUCUUGUCCAGGUCGGGAUUUAGACCACAGGUCCCUGGGGGAGGGCCCUGUGUCAGAUCCUUGGAAACAGCUGUCCUACGGGGGCCCAGCCUCCCAGCAGGGAAGCUCCUGUGAGGACCACUAAUGGUUACUCAGGUCACCUCCACCGAGAACGCUGCUGCAGGAGCCCUGGUGGGGAAAGGGGUGACGUCCAGCCAGACGGACCGCCUGGAGAGGGGCCUGGUGACUGGUCCCCAGUGCACAGAGCUGGAGGGGCUCCCAGAAUAUAGGACGGCAGGGCAGCCAGUCCAUCCUGCGACCAACAGCCUGACACGUCCUGCAGGAGCUCAGCCUCUGCACCGAGAGCGGGGGUGAGAGGCGAGACCAGAGACCCACAAAGGCCCAGCCCCAGGCCCCAGAGCCCUGCCUCGCCUCCCAGUACAGACUCUCCCAUCAUUGCAGAAAUGUGCAUGGGUGUCUCUGGAUGGGAGGCGCUGCCCCUAGGACUGGAAGGAAGGACCAUAGCCUCAGAGCUUGGGAAGCUUCUGUAUAAUGUGCGGACCUGUUCUUUCUCUUUGCUGUCUCUUUAUCUGUUUAAUGACAAUAAAGCAACUUUACUUCACCUA